AGAAUCAACGCUGGCGGCGUGCCUAACACAUGCAAGUCGAACGCGAAAGCCCCGAAAGGGGCAAGUAGAGUGGCAAACGGGUGAGUAACACGUGGGUGACCUGCCUUCGAGCGGGGGAUAACGUCCCGAAAGGGACGCUAAUACCGCAUAACAUCCUGCCUUUGAAGAGGUGGAGAUCAAAGCUGGGGAUCGCAAGACCCGGCACUUGAAGAGGGGCCCGCGUCUGAUUAGCUAGUUGGUGGGUAACGGCCUACCAAGGCAACGAUCAGUA
rnacentral:rRNA from 1 species